UGGGGAAUAUUGCACAAUGGGCGAAAGCCUGAUGCAGCAACGCCGCGUGAAGGAAGAAGGCCUUCGGGUCGUAAACUUCUGUCCUUGGGGAAGAAGAACUGACGGUACCCAAGGAGGAAGCCCCGGCUAACUACGUGCCAGCAGCCGCGGUAAUACGUAGGGGGCAAGCGUUAUCCGGAAUUAUUGGGCGUAAAGAGUACGUAGGUGGCAACUUAAGCGCAGGGUUUAAGGCAAUGGCUCAACCAUUGUUCGCCCUGCGAACUGGGAUGCUUGAGUGCAGGAGAGGAAAGCGGAAUUCCUAGUGUAGCGGUGAAAUGCGUAGAUAUUAGGAGGAACACCAGUGGCGAAGGCGGCUUACUGGACGGUAACUGACGUUGAGGCUCGAAAGCGUGGGGAGCAAACAGGAUUAGAUACC
rnacentral:rRNA from 1 species